UUCCUGGGUUGAGUGCUCCUUUUCGGGAAGCUUGGUGCAUGCAGAUCAGGACCAGCCCAAGGAAGUUGAGCUAGGGUAGAGCAGGGUGAGGAGGCGCUUUAGUACCGCUGGAACUGGAGAUUGCUUUCAGUAAGCAAGUCUUUGUAAAAGGUUUUUAAGUCAUGAUGCAAG